rnacentral:rRNA from 1 species
GAGUUUGAUCGUGGCUCAGGAUGAACGCCGGCGGUGUGCCUAAUACAUGCAAGUCGUACGCACUGGCCCAACUGAUUGAUGGUGCUUGCACCUGAUUGACGAUGGAUCACCAGUGAGUGGCGGACGGGUGAGUAACACGUAGGUAACCUGCCCCGGAGCGGGGAUAACAUUCGGAAACAGAUGCUAAUACCGCAUAACAACAAAGGCCACAUGGCUUUUGUUUGAAAGAUGGCUUUGGCCAUCACUCUGGGAUGGACCUGCGGUGCAUUAGCUAGUUGGUAAGGUAACGGCUUACCAAGGCGAUGAUGCAUAGCCGAGUUGAGAGACUGAUCGGCCACAAUGGAACUGAGACACGGUCCAUACUCCUACGGGAGGCAGCAGUAGGGAAUCUUCCACAAUGGGCGCAAGCCUGAUGGAGCAACACCGCGUGAGUGAAGAAGGGUUUCGGCUCGUAAAGCUCUGUUGUUGGAGAAGAACGUGCGUGAGAGU